GGAGAAGCUCAGCAAUGCAAUGUAAAAACUAACCAGUACGCGCAAAGACUUAGCGAGGAGCGUGCCCUGAGCGUAGGACUUCGCAGCCAGACUCUAGGAUCCCUGGUACUUCUUGUGGAUGGACGAAAGCAGAUGUCCCUAGGUAAAAUGUAAAGAAUCAGGUAGGUACCAUCUCUACACAGCUGGAUUAAGCGACGGACCACAUUACUACACCUUCUUUUCCUCCUUCUACUGUUGAAUUUAAACCUGCACACUGAGCUUCAACCGUAAUGACGACAUUACCAGGAUGGAGAGCAAUAUAUGGAGAUCUUGAGUGUCAACCUUGUUUACAACAGCUCAACACACCUGGACCAUUUACCGUGAAGAGGAAGAAGAAAGACAAAAAUGUCACCUGUCUUCUCUCACACGUGAAAUCUAUCAUCUGUCUCUCUGUCUGUCUUGUCUGUCUUUCUGUCCGUUGUGAGGUGACAUCAGAAGGGGGACUAUUUGGGAAGGAAGGAGACAAUUGAAAGAGGGGAGAGGAUGAAGUGUUGGAGGAUGCAGCAAGAGGGAUGCAAAAACAAUAAAAUGAUAUCUGUGGAAAAAUGCCAUAUUGAAACUCACUGCUUUGCAGGUAAUUAAAAAUAACAAAAAUAAAAUUAGAUGCUUUGAGAAAGAAAGAAA